rnacentral:lncRNA from 1 species
UCAUAUAACCUCCAGUAGCCUAAAUAGGGAUAUAUAUCAGAUAUGACACCUAUAGGUAGUAAGGAAGGUGCGAUAAUGUUCUCACCUAAUUGUAAAUUCUGUAUUUAUACAAUAAACUUACUAUUUAAACCUAAAAAAAAACCAUUUUCGGCCAAAAGAAUCUAUUGAAGCAUACCAAUACAAGUGGGGAAAAAUCUUCAUACCAAUGUUUUCUUUUGCAGAAAGUGUCAAACUAGAAGACUUUGACAAAAGCGAAGUGGAAAAUGUGAAAAAAUUACCGCGCCCAUUUUAGAAGCAGCUAAACUCCUCCCAAAAAGUAAGUCUGAAACUUCUACUUACUCAACAUUAUCUUUUCAGACUGCAUACCAGUAAUCUGAACAGAUUGUUUCUCCACAAUUUCCUGAAGUUUGAGAACAGUUUUUGUGUAGUGAUUUAUAAUUGCCUCAUACUCGGUCUCAAGUGAAGUUUUAUGAAUUAUUAGCUUUUCUCAGAUAACCCACAGUCCAAUUUUCAGGGUUUAAAAUUUGAAUAAAAAGUGUUGGCUAUCUGUGGACAAAUAUGAUAGUUUUUCAAAAGUCGUUGCCUAUUCAAGAUUCAAUUUUAUUAAUAAACAAAUAUACACUCUCUGUUGAUAAAACUGUUUCAUUUGUCAAAUGGUGAAUUACAGGAAUUGUUGAAAUCCAAACACCGUGAAAGCGUCGUGGAGGUAAUAGGGAUGAGUGAUGAUGACUGCGAUAGAAUGAGCACGAAGCUGCAGCCGCGUAUGAAACAAAAGAAACCAGUGAAGCAGAGAGUGACGGAGGGGGUGAGGAGUCAGAUGAGUCCGAGGAGGUGGAGCAGGAAGAUGAAGAAGACAGCGACUCUGAUGAGGAUGACGAUGAUGAUGACGAUGAGAGUAGCGACGAGAUGGAGCACUACAAUCCCGUUCCUAUGAAAGAGGGCAGCCCAUUGUCCGACCACCAAGUCCCGGACAUUAUGUUGCGGCAAGGAAACUCGGCUGAAAUUCUAGAUUUGGUCUCGUCAGGAGUGCGGCUGUCUCAACAGAAAAAGAAGUUUCCUCAACAGAAAUCCCUCGCAAAUUCACCAGAGAGGAACCUGAAUGUGAUGUCAGAGUUGGCAAGCUUAGUCCAAGGACCUCCUCUCCUGCCCUUCUCACUAUCCGAAGGGCGGAGUUUGGAUCCUGCUGAUUUCCCACCAAGGUACAGUUCCAACCCUCAGUUAAAAUGUGUAGCUGUGAGAUCUCGUCCUCUAAAACGAAAAAUAAAAUAAUGAUCGUAGUAGUAAAAAGAUAACAGGUCUGAUAACAGGUCUUUGUUAUAAAUAUAAUAUAAAACUCUGUUCAUCAUAAAAAAAUUAGAAAUAGUCGAAGAAAACGCUUUUAAAACCUCCUUAAGUUGGAACCAAUUCGUCCAAAUUACGCUUGUGUGGACAAGACCUACUUUAAAUAGAUGAAAAUGCAACGUUUUGACUUACAGAAUGGUUUUAAUGUUGAAUUUUGUUUACUGCAUACUUGCAUGCAUCUAAGAAAAUGAGAAGUACUAUUUAUUUGCGGUGUUAUUUUUAUUCAGGGAACUCGUCGAAGAAAAACACUAAGCGGUGACGAAAACGGAAGCUUAUCUUCACAAGUCAGCAACAAAUCUGAGAAGAAUAUGGGUGAUUUUGAUGGUGAUGACGACUCGGUUUGUGAUGAUGAAAUUGACUUUACAACCCGAGCACAGGUGAGACAACCCAGCCUCCUAUUUGAAUUGUUAUUCAUGCUAUUAAUAAUUUUAUUUCACCACAUUCUGUACCUGGAGUUGGAAGUUUUGAUUUUUUACAGCUUAAAUUCCUUAGUAGAGUACAAAGAGUGCCACUGCCAUAGACACAAAUCAAUCCUACUUGAAAAUGUGAACUGACAGACUGUGGUUCAAUCAACACCAAUUCAGUUGAUAUAGAUUUAAUCUAUGGAUGUAAUAAGUAUGAAUAAAUCGGAAAAUAUACGGAAAGACACCUAGUUGAUGAACAAUUAAUGUAAAAACUAUGGUUGAAUCGAUCAAAAAUGGAGGACAUGAACCACUUAGGAACGACUUAAUUGCCAUUAGCGCUGUAAUGACGCUGUAACGUAUAAAACAAAUCGCAAACCUGACCUCAAAAUUACAAAAAUGGCGAAGUUUUUUCCUUAGUCUCUUAAAAUCGUCAGUUUGCAGUUAGGCGGUUUUGUUCCUUAGCGAUCGAUUUGUUUCCCUGUAUAGGUAAGUGUUUUUUUUAUCAGGCAGAAAUGCUGUCUUCUUACUUCAAAACGCAAUCCAUUUGUCAAGUAACGCUCUCAAUGGAUCGGUUCAGAACGAAAGCUUUGAAUUGAUACCAUUUGGGAUGGCGGACUUGGGAUAUUAAUUCUUUGAAUACUGUUCUUACUAGAUUUGUGAGCAAGCACUGCGGAGGCACAAUGUCCUGGACCAGAUGGUUUAUCCUCAUCAGCAGCUACCCAACAGGCCUGACGCAAUGUCAUUCCUCCAUGGCAACCCGAACAGCAAAAUCAUCCUACCGAGGGAUGACUCAGUCAAGUUCCAUCUAGAGGAUGUGUGUAAGCCAGGGAGCACUUUGCUGUGGGAUCUACUACAAGACGAUAAAAUUGUAAGUCCUCUCACACAAUCACUAAUAGCAUAACAAUGGUGAAACUCACAAACCUCAAAUUAUGGUCUGCAACAUGGCAGAUCUCCGAUCCAGAUCCAGAUUAGGGUUUUUUUUCAAUUUUACACAGGCAGAAAUCAAUUCAAACUAAGAACCGUGUACGUUUUUGAAAAGAACGCAAAAAAAGUAAUAAAAAUGUUCAGUACAAAUUGUUUCUACGUUGCCAAAUUUUCGAUAAAAAUCGUUCCAAAGAGCCAACAAUGCCAAAAUUCGAUAAAUUGCCACGCUUAAGGUUCAAGAAAGUGGGGUACAACUUUUAUAUUUACGUACUUAACAACUCUUACCUAUAUGUACAAUAUAUCAAAAAAUGAUAGUUGUACCUGGAUUCCCACGAUGUGAAAAUUGACCGGGAUGUCGAUUUUAGCGCCCUUUUUUACUUGAAGGUAGCUCUUUUGAAUGUUUUUCGACCUUAGUCACCCUCCGUGGGUGUGUGCUAUACGAAUUUUUCUACGUACUUUUCAUAUCUGGCCAUAAAAAUGGCUUCUUGUGAAUUUUAAAAGGCCUACUGUCCAUUGUUGCCAAUUUUCACCAAUUUUUAGGGUUUUUUUUCAAGUUAACAUGUGUGAAACUUAAUUUAAUCUAAAAAUCAUGUACAUUUCGGAAAGAGCGUAAAAAAAUACAUACAUAAUGUGCUUUAUAACUUUUCACUACGUUGCCAAAUUUUCGAGAAAAAAUCGUCCUGAAGCGCCAAAAAUGCCAAAAAUUGGAUUAAUCAUCACGUCGAUGGUUCUAGAAAGUGAAUUUUCAGUUUUAUUUCACCAUAAAUAACGUAUCGAAAAUGGGAAAUUGCAAUGCAUCUCAUGGAGCAUGUAAUGGCUCAGAUUUACGUGACAAAACGGAUCCUCAAGGUGCUUUUACCUUAUCCUUCACUCCAGUUCACCUCUUUAUUCCUGUAACCUUGAGAUAAUCCUUGGUUCUCAAGAUGCCUGCUACAGGCCAAAUAUACCAAAUAACAGAAACUGUGUAAGGAAAGUGUCUCACGAUCCACAUGAAAGUCAUAAUUCACUUUCUAGAACCUUCGACAUGAUGAUUAAUCCAAUUUUUGGCAUUUUUGGCGCUUCAGGACGAUUUUUCUCAAAAAUUUGGCAAUGUAGGGAAAAGUUAUAAAGCACAUUAUGUAUGUAUUUUUUUACGCUCUUUCCGAAAAUGUACACGAUUUUUAGAUUAAAUUAAGUUUCACACACGUUAACUUGAAAAAAAACCCUAAAAAUUGGUGAAAAUUGGCAACAAUGGACAGUUAGGCCUUUUUAAAAUUCACAGGAAGCCAUUUUUAUGGCCAGAUAUGAAAAGUACGUAGAAAAAUUCGUAUAGCACACACCCACGGAGGGUGACUAAGGUCGAAAAACAUUCAAAGGAGCUACCUUCAAGUAAAAAAAGGCCGCUAAAAUCGACAUCCUGGUCAAUUUUCACAUCGUGGGAAUCCAGGUACAACUAUCAUUUUUGAUAUAUUGUAUUUAUAGGUAAGAGCUGUUACGUACGUUGAUAUGAAAGUUGUACCCCACUUUCUUGAACCUUAAGCGUGGCAAUUAUCGAAUUUUUGGCAUUGUUGGCUCUUUGGAACGAUUUUUAUCGAAAAUUUGGCAACGUAGAUACAAUUUGUACUGAACAUUUUUAUUCCUUUUUUUGCGUUCUUUUCAAAAACGUAUACGGUUCUUAGUUUGAAUUGAUUGUGUAAAAUUGAAAAAAAAAACCCUAAAAAUGGGCUAAAAUGGCAACAGUGGACCAUAAGGCCCCUUAAAAUUUAUCAGAGGUCUUUAAAAAGGCCAGAAACGGAAAAUACGCAAAAAAGACAUGGGAAUCAUCUGCUGGAAGAGUGAUAAUAGUCGAAAAAAACGACGAAAAUAACUAUUUUUUGAUGCCAAGAUUCUGGGUUUGAGUUGUUGUUGCACCUUUGCAUGGGCUCCGUCCGGUAAAAUAUUUGGCAUGAAGUCUACCUAGGACUAGUACUUUGAAAAUAUGAAACAUUCAGAAAAAUCCAGGUGGGGCUGGAAAAGGCCCAAAACGAUACUCCUCCUUUCUAUCAUAAAAUCUGGGGAAAAAUAACAAAAAAAAAUAUGUAUCACUGACUAGUAAUUUUCACCCAGCUCAAAUUAUCCUCAUGUUUGUCUCCUUUGUUAGUUAAAAUUAAAACCUAAGCUUCUCUGAAAAUUGUUUGCAGUAAGAACCAUGUUAAAAGCAUAGAGUACAUAGAGUCGUAAUGUAAAUGGGAGAGCUGGCGCCAUGUUCUGCUCGACGAGUUCCGAGCCCGGUGUGCGCCGAGUUCGGGUCGCUUUUUCGAUACAUUUUCGAUCCAAAAUGGCGGUGUGGAAUACGUGGUAAUUCCUAUCUCCUUUGUGGUUGUUGUUGUUGUUGUUGUCAUCAGAUGGCCGGGUACCCGUGUAUCGCAAACAAUCGAUUAUGUAUCGAAAAAGUGACCCGGCGUCACACAGGAGUCUCGGAAUUCGGGACAUGGAAAAUGCAUAAAAGUGGCGCCAGCUCUCCCACUUACAUUACGACUCUGUGUACCCUAUGGUUAAAAGAGGUUAAGAGAACACCACAGCGCUAAGUUGUCCAUAAGUAACAGUUUUGUUUCACAGAACUUCUGAACAAGUACGGAUUUUUAGGUAUCCUUCACCAAAAAGAUACAAACUGAAUUGUACUGUAUAAUCUCGAAUUUGAUACUUUUAUUAAAAAGUUACCCUAAAAAUAGAAUUGUAACACUGGAAAUAGUGGCACAUUCUUCUGAGGUCCUAAUUUUAUAAAUCUGGAGAUUGUUACAACUGCUUAUAAGACAAGCCAAAAUGCAAAAAAAAAAAACCAAGAAACUUAUCAGCUAAGCCAUUUUUUACAGUAACUGAGAUCGUACGGUUUUGAUAGGCCUAUCAUGAUGUAUUUAAAUCUAAUCAUUUUGGAGCUGUACAUGCACUCUCAAUCAUUCCUUUUUCAACAAAGAAUAUUUUUUUGAAAUUAUAUGAAAGAUCCAUGUUUCUAUAUUUGUGUCAAAGACCAAGCAAUUCAAAGAAAUAUGGCAAGAUUAGAACCUCGCCUAAUUUCCGUAGGUUUGUAUUAGUGUUAAUAUUAUUUCUUCCUUGCUCAUCGCC